rnacentral:rRNA from 1 species
UACGGGGGGAGCAAGCGUUGUUCGGAUUUAUUGGGCGUAAAGAGCGUGUAGGCGGCCAGGUAGGUCUGCUGUGAAAACUCGAGGCUCAACCUCGAGACGUCGGCGGAAACCAUCUGGCUAGAGUCCGGAAGAGGAGAGUGGAAUUCCUGGUGUGAGCGGUGAAAUGCGCAGAUAUCAGGAAGAACACCCGUGGCGAAGGCGGCUCUCUGGGACGGUACUGACGCUGAGACGCGAAAGCGUGGGGAGCGAACAGG